GCAGCCGCGGUAAUACGUAGGGGGCGAGCGUUGUCCGGAAUGACUGGGCGUAAAGGGCGUGUAGGCGGCCUGUUAAGUUAGAAGUGAAAGUCCUGAUUUCAAGUUGGGAAUUGCUUUUAAUACUGAUGGGCUUGAGUGCAGAAGAGGUAAGUGGAAUUCCCAGUGUAGCGGUGAAAUGCGUAGAGAUUGGGAGGAACACCAGUGGCGAAGGCGACUUACUGGGCUGUAACUGACGCUGAGGCGCGAAAGCGUGGGGAGCGAACAGGAUUAGAUACCCC
rnacentral:rRNA from 1 species